ACUGGUCCCAACCUUUUUGUGAGGAGUAAAUGGCACACUUCCCACAGGAAUGUUGCUGUUGGGGACAUUGUCUGGUUGUGUGACCAAAAUGCACUUAGAGGACAGUUUAUGCUGGGCAAAGUUGUAAGUGCUAAUCCCGACAAGAAGGGUGUUGUGAGGGACGUAAAUGUCCAGGUUGUCCCAAGUUGUUGCACUCCUAUAACAAAACAUGUCAAGCAAAGAUCAGUGCAUCCACCAAAGAAGGAUAAAAUUAACACCACCAUUCUUCACAGGGAUGUUAGGAGGCUCAUCGUCUUAAUACCUGUGGAGGAACAAACAGAAAGUCAAACCACAGAGGAAUAAGACUCCAGAUGUACCCAAAGGCACCAGAACUGCGAUCUUCCCAGUGUUUCAUGGAAAGAUCGAGUGGGAGGUGUGAAGUCAAAUGAGAAAAAAAAAAGAAAAAAAAUUAAAUAAAAAAAAAAAAAAAAAAAAAAAAAAAAAAAAAUGCACUGUGUUUCACACGGACUUAAAAGAGGGACGGACAACAAGGAAGAGAGAGCAGAGAAGAAAGCAAGCCAGUCAAAGAGGACGGAAGUUUGGGGGAUCAGAGAUCCUGGACACUUUGUGCAGAGGAGGACAAAUCUGUAAGACGAGCAGAGAGGCAGCCGGUUUUUACCUGCUUCUGGACCAAUUUGCACAUGUCCUGUCAUUCACCAAAUAAAUGGAGGAUAAAAGAA